GACUCGAACAGACAUGCGAGACCUCUACCAACUGAAGGUUUCGUGAGCGCACUCCUUUGCCAAGAUCUUGGUGAAUAGUCUUUCACUGUGCAAUUUUAUCUUAGAAAUUGUUUUACGUUUGAUCAUGAUUGUGCUUGGCUGGAUGUUUUUUGUUGGACUUGUGUGUUACAUGGGCACGUUUCCAGAGUUGAUGCCUCCAACUCUGAAGUGGCAGGAGAGGUGGCCUGUUCAGGAGAGCAAAACACAACUGAGGAGGCGGGCUUUAGGUGAAGAUCUGCUGCAGAACCAUGUGGAAGGGAUAUAAAUAUCCCCCAGGAGGGACUCCAGUGGAAGUAAGCAAGGAUGAUCCUGGUGAAGUAAUGCAGCUGUGAAGCUCACCUGACCAGCUGUACAGUUCCUGUUGUUGGUUUCACAUAAACUAUUAGCCUCAUCUUACAAAAUGGCAAAAAUGAAGUUGAGGGGCAUGUUUAUCUUGCCAACACACACAGCCCUGGGCUGCAGAGUCAAGAUUAAGAUCCAGGCCUUCUCCCUUCACACUUUCAUGUGCCAAGGAAAAGAGCCAAACAAGAGACUGUGGGAUAUCCAAGAUCUUGCUGUUUAAAUGUCUCCCUCACCUGAAAACCCAAGAAGUUAGGCCAGGCGUGGUGGCUCACACCUGUAAUCCCAGCACUUUGGGAGGCCGAGGCAGGCGGAUCACUUGAGGUCAGGAGUUCGAGACCCGCUUGGCCAACAUGGUGAAACCCCGUAUCUACUAAAAAUACAAAAAUUAGCCAGGUGUGGUGGUGGGCACCAGUAAUCCUAGCUACUUGGGAGGCUGAGGCAGAAUUGCUUGAACCCGGGAGGUGGGGGUUACAGUGAGCCGAGAUUGCACCACUGCACUCCAGCCUGGGUGACAAAGCAAGACCUUGUCUCAAAAAGAAAAAAAAAAAGAGAAAAGAAAACCCAGGAAGUUGCCUGAUAAUUCUUUUUCAUGACUACUGAAAAGAUGGGAGCCUGAGAGAGACCUAACAGGAGUAAAUACUUUAAAAACAAAUUGUAUGGAACUGUACCCAUUCUGAGGAUGACUGAUACAGUUCCAGUAUUCAAAAGAAGUAUACCUUUUCCAGCAAAGCAGAUCUUUUGUUUACAUAGAAAACAUUUUGUUAUUUGGGAAGUUUGCUUAACUAUUUGUAAGUGGCUCUUUGCAAUUAAUGGAUUACCUUUUUUUAAUGGAAAGAAAAUAAAUUCAAAAUCCAUAAGCAAAACUUUAGUAAUUUCUGACUCUAGGAUACUAGCAUCUUCUAUUUCUUAUGUGAUUUAGACUCAACAUUUUCCAGUGAGUUAAGUACUUACAUCCUCUGGCUGUAUAGCUCUGCCCAUUUGCCUCGUAAUACAUUUUUUUUUGAGACAGUCUCGUUCUGUCACCCAGGAUAGAGUGCAGUGGUGCAAUCUCGGCUCACUGCAACCUCCACCUCCCAGGUUUAAGUGAUUCUUAUACCUCAGCCCCCUGAGUAGCAGGGAUUACAACGCACGCCACAUUUUUGUAUUUUUAGUAGAGACGGAGUUUUGCCAUGUUGGCCAGGCUGGUCUCGAACUCCCAGCCUCAAGUGAUCCACCUGCUUCUACCUCCCAAAGUGCUGGGAUUACAGGUGUGAGCCACUGUGCCCAGCCUGCCUCAUAUACAUUUCUAAGGACUCCUCUUCUCAGCCAUCUCAAGCUGCUUUUAUCAUAAGAGAUAGGACCCUGCUCAUUUUGACAAGAGGAACCAUAUACCCAGCUGUGUCCUCCCUCCAUUUGAGUAAACUUCCAAAACUUGAGCCACUAAAAGAUUCCAUUGCUCUGACCACCUAACAGUUCUCCCAACAUGGGUCAGAGAGCAGAACAGUUCUCUAAGCUGGUAGGGGGAGAGAAGCUCUAUCAUGUUAGAGCAGACAUGAAUGUGUAAGGGAGAAUAAGCAGAGGAGUGUGUGCAAUAGGCAAACCAUAUCUCUGAAGUGUGAUGAGUAUACCGAGGUUUCUAGCUGGAAAAAUGUUCAGGGUGAUGAGAUAAAGAAUAUCUCAAAGUUUUAAUCAAUAAAUGCAAACCAGCA
rnacentral:lncRNA from 1 species